CUCACAAAUGGUGAGACCAUGACCAGAGCUGUAAUCAAGAGCCAGACCCUCAACCUACUGAGCCACCCAGGCACAUCUCCAAUAAAACAUGAUGUACAAAACUGAUGAUUUGAAACAGCAAUCUUGAGACUUGAGAGGAAGACAGAGUAAAUACUCUUCAUCUCAUUUUAAAGAUAGAAUAUGAAGUGUUUUGUUUAUGUACAAGUUUAUGUCUCAGCUUUGCUCUCUGAUCCUCGUUUGGACCCAGCCAUUGACACAGCUAUACAGAUGCUCUUGGGCAGACUAAAGGAAGGAGGCAGCAUACCGAACACAGUACCUGCAAGGAGUACAGAGCCUGGAUGUGAACAAUCCAUUUCUGUCUCUCAAAGACUGAAACACUGGUAUAAUUGCUCCUGCACUCUUCUGCAUCACUCAUUCCAUAAGCUUAAGAAGCUUUAAGAGAAACAUAUACAAGAUAAUGCUUUUGGUACGAAGUAAAAGGAAAUCUUUAUUUUCCCUGGUUUAAUUUUCUAGAUUUACUACCUUUCUAUUUUUUAUAAAUAUCUUUCAGUUUUUACUGUUCAAGGCCAGUCACAUUUACUUCAUGUUUCAUUUUCUGAUAUCCAAAUUCUCUCUGGUGCUUCCUCUAAUGACAAGCACAGUCUUCUACUGGGAUACAAUUUUGUUUGUGUGGCUAAUUUCUUAAUCCUCCUGUCCAUACCCUCUUUCUUUAUUGCAAAGUAUCACUUGAGUCCAAGUGAGUUUUAUUUAUUUAUUUUUUUAAGCCUUCACCUUUCCUGCUGCU